rfam:Corynebacterium humireducens NBRC 106098 = DSM 45392, complete genome.
ACUCAGGCACGAUCCGGGCCUCUGGAACACCUCAUGUAGCAGGUGUGUACGCGCGGAACCGACCUGAUGUUCAAUCCUGAGGGA